UACAGAGGCCUCGAGCGUUAGGCGGAAUCACUGGGCUUAAAGCGUGUGUAGGUGGAUGCCUAAGUACCUUGUGAAAUCCCAUGGCUUAACCAUGGAAUUGCUUGGUAUACUGGGUGUCUUGAGCCACUCAGGGGCUACUGGAACAAACGGUGGAGCGGUGAAAUGCGUAGAUAUCGUUUGGAACGCCAAUGGUGAAAACAAGUAGCUGGGGGGUGUGCUGACACUGAGACACGAAAGCCAGGGGAGGCAAACGG
rnacentral:rRNA from 1 species